rnacentral:rRNA from 1 species
GAAACCGAGUCUUAAUUGGGCGUUAAGUUGCAGGGUAUAGACCCGAAACCCGGUGAUCUAGCCAUGGGCAGGUUGAAGGUUGGGUAACACUAACUGGAGGACCGAACCGACUAAUGUUGAAAAAUUAGCGGAUGACCUGUGGCUGGGGGUGAAAGGCCAAUCAAACCGGGAGAUAGCUGGUUCUCCCCGAAAGCUAUUUAGGUAGCGCCUCGUGAAUUCAUCUCCGGGGGUAGAGCACUGUUUCGGCUAGGGGGCCAUCCCGGCUUACCAACCCGAUGCAAACUGCGAAUACCGGAGAAUGUUAUCACGGGAGACACACGGCGGGUGCUAACGUCCGUCGUGAAGAGGGAAACAACCCAGACCGCCAGCUAAGGUCCCAAAGUCAUGGUUAAGUGGGAAACGAUGUGGGAAGGCCCAGACAGCCAGGAUGUUGGCUUAGAAGCAGCCAUCAUUUAAAGAAAGCGUAAUAGCUCACUGGUCGAGUCGGCCUGCGCGGAAGAUGUAACGGGGCUAAACCAUGCACCGAAGCUGCGGCAGCGAACGUAUCACCCAAGACAACUUUACGGAGUUGACGAUUGACGGAGCGAAGCGACGUCAAAGCGUUCAUUAAAGUCGAGUUGGCUUAGGGAUACGUUCGUUGGGUAGGGGAGCGUUCUGUAAGCCUGUGAAGGUGUGUCGUGAGGCAUGCUGGAGGUAUCAGAAGUGCGAAUGCUGACAUAAGUAACGAUAAAGCGGGUGAAAAGCCCGCUCGCCGGAAGACCAAGGGUUCCUGUCCAACGUUAAUCGGGGCAGGGUGAGUCGACCCCUAAGGCGAGGCCGAAAGGCGUAGUCGAUGGGAAACGGGUUAAUAUUCCCGUACUUGGUGUUACUGCGAAGGGGGGACGGAGAAGGCUAUGUUGGCCGGGCGACGGUUGUCCCGGUUUAAGCGUGUAGGUGUGUGUUCCAGGUAAAUCCGGUUCACUUUAACACUGAGGCGUGACGACGAGGCACUACGGUGCUGAAGCAACAAAUGCCCUGCUUCCAGGAAAAGCCUCUAAGCAUCAGGUAACACGAAAUCGUACCCCAAACCGACACAGGUGGUCAGGUAGAGAAUACCAAGGCGCUUGAGAGAACUCGGGUGAAGGAACUAGGCAAAAUGGUGCCGUAACUUCGGGAGAAGGCACGCUGACACGUAGGUGAAGUGAUUUACUCAUGGAGCUGAAGUCAGUCGAAGAUACCAGCUGGCUGCAACUGUUUAUUAAAAACACAGCACUGUGCAAACACGAAAGUGGACGUAUACGGUGUGACGCCUGCCCGGUGCCGGAAGGUUAAUUGAUGGGGUCAGCGUAAGCGAAGCUCCUGAUCGAAGCCCCGGUAAACGGCGGCCGUAACUAUAACGGUCCUAAGGUAGCGAAAUUCCUUGUCGGGUAAGUUCCGACCUGCACGAAUGGCGUAAUGAUGGCCAGGCUGUCUCCACCCGAGACUCAGUGAAAUUGAACUCGCUGUGAAGAUGCAGUGUACCCGCGGCAAGACGGAAAGACCCCGUGAACCUUUACUAUAGCUUGACACUGAACAUUGAGCCUUGAUGUGUAGGAUAGGUGGGAGGCUUUGAAGUGUGGACGCCAGUCUGCAUGGAGCCGACCUUGAAAUACCACCCUUUAAUGUUUGAUGUUCUAACGUGGACCCGUAAUCCGGGUUGCGGACAGUGUCUGGUGGGUAGUUUGACUGGGGCGGUCUCCUCCUAAAGAGUAACGGAGGAGCACGAAGGUUGGCUAAUCCUGGUCGGACAUCAGGAGGUUAGUGCAAUGGCAUAAGCCAGCUUGACUGCGAGCGUGACGGCGCGAGCAGGUGCGAAAGCAGGUCAUAGUGAUCCGGUGGUUCUGAAUGGAAGGGCCAUCGCUCAACGGAUAAAAGGUACUCCGGGGAUAACAGGCUGAUACCGCCCAAGAGUUCAUAUCGACGGCGGUGUUUGGCACCUCGAUGUCGGCUCAUCACAUCCUGGGGCUGAAGUAGGUCCCAAGGGUAUGGCUGUUCGCCAUUUAAAGUGGUACGCGAGCUGGGUUUAGAACGUCGUGAGACAGUUCGGUCCCUAUCUGCCGUGGGCGCUGGAGAACUGAGGGGGGCUGCUCCUAGUACGAGAGGACCGGAGUGGACGCAUCACUGGUGUUCGGGUUGUCAUGCCAAUGGCACUGCCCGGUAGCUAAAUGCGGAAGAGAUAAGUGCUGAAAGCAUCUAAGCACGAAACUUGCCCCGAGAUGAGUUCUCCCUGAGACUUAGAGUCUCCUGAAGGAACGUUGAAGACGACGACGUUGAUAGGCCGGGUGUGUAAGCGCAGCGAUGCGUUGAGCUAACCGGUACUAAUGAACCGUGAGGCUUAACCUUACA